GGAGGGUGCAAGCGUUAAUCGGAAUUACUGGGCGUAAAGCGCACGCAGGCGGUUUGUUAAGUCAGAUGUGAAAUCCCCGGGCUCAACCUGGGAACUGCAUCUGAUACUGGCAAGCUUGAGUCUCGUAGAGGGGGGUAGAAUUCCAGGUGUAGCGGUGAAAUGCGUAGAGAUCUGGAGGAAUACCGGUGGCGAAGGCGGCCCCCUGGACGAAGACUGACGCUCAGGUGCGAAAGCGUGGGGAGCAAACAGGAUUAGAUACCCUGGUAGUCCACGCCGUAAACGAUGUCGACUUGGAGGUUGUGCCCUUGAGGCGUGGCUUCCGGAGCUAACGCGUUAAGUCGACCGCCUGGGGAGUACGGCCGCAAGGUUAAAACUCAA
rnacentral:rRNA from 1 species